GGCAGAGUGGCAUAGUGGUUUGACCAUUGGGCUAUGAUUCCAGAGACCAGGGUUCGAUUCCCAGCUCAGCCA